UACGUAGGGGGCGAGCGUUGUCCGGAUUUAUUGGGCGUAAAGAGCUCGUAGGCGGUUCGAUAAGUCGGACGUGAAAUCUCCACGCUCAACGUGGAGGGGCCGUUCGAUACUGUCGUGACUCGAGUCCGGUAGGGGAGUGUGGAAUUCCCGGUGUAGUGGUGGAAUGCGUAGAGAUCGGGAGGAACACCAGUGGCGAAGGCGACUCGCUGGACCGGUCCUGACGCUCAGGCGCGAAAGCGUGGGGAGCGAUCCGG
rnacentral:rRNA from 1 species